CACCCCCCCCCUUUCCCUGGGCCAGUGUCAGCCCCAGGCACUGUGCUGAGGUUGUGUAGAAAGGGGCAGGCUCCCCCUGGAGAUCCCCACCCAGGGAUCCCCGGGCAACACUCCUCCAAGGACUUUUCUUCUCUAGGAACUCGCUUCUGUCAGCCUCUCUUGUCUGUCCACUGGCUCCUAAGCCUUCCAUCUGCAAGUUCAGUUUCUAAGUCAACAGGACCCCCAGACAGGCCUCCGGUCCCCUUGGGGGAACUGUCAGGAUCUGUGUGUGUGUGUGUUGCAAGCAAGCUCAUUGCAUGGACCUGGCACAGGCGGGAUCCAGCUCCCUUCCAGGGCCACGUGACCCUGGCAGCAUUACUCACUUGGGUGCCCUCCAGCAGGGGCAGCUGGGGACACCUCCCUAGAGUGACUACAGCGUUUAUCACGGGGAUGACUCAGCCCGCCCGAGCCUCUCUCUCCCUGAAAAGGGAAUCUGAGGCCAGGGCCGGGGUGAGAGUGUCCAUUAGACCAUCUAUAGCCUCGGGAGCCCGGAAACUCCCCUCACCUGGGAAGCACGCAGGACGGACGGACGGGAUGAGUAAAGCUCAGGCAUCACACCGAAGGAGACAGAUUCAUCUCUCAUUCCAAGAGCUCUCCUGGACUCCGAGUUCCCUCUGAAUCAUGCUCCGAGGUCAUUCUGACAGGAGUGACUCAUGUAGGCACACAUCAGGCGCAGAGACCCAGGCGGCAGGAAUUUAUCCUGUGCAGACUAGGCCCCUAGACAUAAGAAGCCACUAAAAUGUGAAACCAACUGCUCUGCUGCUUUUGAACAAAAGCCGCAGGAAGACGCGGCGUUACCCAGCCUGUGGUCCGAUGGUGCCUCUCACUGCUUUCCCCCCCGCCCCCGGAACUGAAGUUUGCACCUGGAAGGGGCAAAGCCAGCACCUGUGUGACUCGGGG
ensembl:lncRNA